UCCAGUAAAUAAACAACAACAAACUGGAAUAGUGUAUAAAAUACCUUGUUCGUGUGACUUAUGCUAUGUUGGACAAACUAGGCAGUAUUUGAGUAAUAGAGUAAAACAACACAUUUAUGAUUGUAAAAAUAUUAAUAUAUUAAAAGAGAAUAAAACAGCAUUAGCAACCCACCACUUUGACCAACAUCAUAAUUUUAAGUUUGAUAAGAUAGAAAUCUUGGAUAAAGAAAUGAAUUGGUGGAAACGUAAUGUUAGUGAAAUGAUCUUUAUAAAAACUAAUGAUACUGUGAACAAACGAACAGACACUAACAAUUUAAGUAUUUUAUAUAAUGAUAUAUUAAAAGAGUAUAAAUCUAAUAGAAAAAAAUAACCUUCAUUUCAGAUAUAUUUGAAUUUGAUACUUAGCGAGGUUUGCGCUAGUAUAAAAUAUUAUAAAGUAUAGUCUAUGUACUGAAGUUUCAAUAGUGGGCUAACCUUUGUCACGCAAUUAGCAAUUUUAUGUGUCGUGUUGGCUUUGUUUCCGGAAUCAAAAAAUAGUAAUUAAAUAAUUUAGUGGCUUUGUAGAUUUGUAUUAGUCUCUGAUGUCUGAGACAAUUGUGCAGUGUAUGAUAGAGAUUAUUUAAAUUCAUAUUAUGAUGCCUGAUGAAGGUCUAAUAAAAGACCGAAACGUUGCUAAAAUAAUAAUGUAAUUUGUUAUAAUAGUCCUAUCUUGUCCACAUUCCUGAGAUACACGAAAAA